rnacentral:rRNA from 1 species
UACGUAGGGGGCUAGCGUUGUCCGGAAUCAUUGGGCGUAAAGAGCGUGUAGGCGGUCCGGUAAGUCCGUUGUGAAAGUCAGGGGCUCAACCCUUGAAUGCCGGCGGAUACUGUCGGGCUAGAGUCCGGAAGAGGCGAGUGGAAUUCCCGGUGUAGCGGUGAAAUGCGCAGAUAUCGGGAGGAACACCUAUGGCGAAGGCGGUGUUCUGGGCCUGUACUGACGCUGAUGCGCGAAAGCGUGGGGAGCGAACAGG